GCCUCUGUCCCCAUGUGCCUCUUUCCAUCUGAAUCCCACUGUUUCUUGGUCAUCAGCUCUGACCUGCUCUUCUCACCCACGUGUUCUCUGAGGUCCCCUCUCACGUGGCUCUUAGCUCAUAAACAAUCCUGCUCAACCGUUGUCACACAUUUCCUGACAAACCAUGUGCUCCAGACCCUGGGCUGGGUACUGGGAACCGGGGACAAGCCCAGCUGACAUUUCUGGAGCACUGACAGGCACCAGGAAUUUACUUGUCUGAUCUCCGUCAUCCCAUUGCAGCCCUAUGAGGUGCAUUCUAUCAUGUCCCCGCUUUAGACAGGGAGGAGGUGAGGGGAAGCUGCACAGUGAGCACGUGAAGAAGCCAGAUUUCACGCCAGCCCGACAGAACCCAGAGCUGAGCCCAACCCUCGUGCUGGUCCGUGGUGGCUGCCUGUGAGGGGCUCACCCUGUAUCAGCGGACCCUUCACCCUCCCCCUCCCCCUCCUGUGUCUUGAGAAAGGCCAGGCAGAGCCCAAGUGCUGUGUGCAGCUGGAACCUGUUUGGUGGCAAGUGACAGAAAACCCAACUCUAACUGGCUUUAGAUGAAAUAGAGAUUCAAGCCACUCCACAGUCUGGGGCUAGAGCUGGCGUCUCCAGGGCUGGAUGCAGACCCAAUAAUAAUAAAGACCCAAUCGUUGGGGCCCAGUUUCUCUCUCUCCAUCUCACUGUCUCGUUUAUUCUUGUGGGUCAGCUCCGUUCUCAGACAGGCUCCCCCUCAUGGAUACAGAACGGCUGCAGCAUCUCCAGCCCUCAAACUCUCUCAGCUUCAGCUUCAGUGGGAAGUCACCUGUGUCUUUCCUGGUUUCACACCAAUGAAAUGGAGCAGCAAUGUUUGAGGCAGAAGCUGCCUCAUUAGCCUGGUCCUGGAGUGGCGAUGAGGUGGAGCAAAUCCACAGCCAAGUCAAAAUGAACAGGAAGCGUGAUGGGAAACAAGCCUGUCUUUCUGUGAACUGCUGAGACCUGGGGGUUCUUUGUUACUGCUGCAUGACUGGCUCAUCCCACCGAUCCACCAGCCCACAAACGGAACGCGUGUCCACCGAGGGUCUGGAUGUGGGUGCCUCUGUGUCGUGUUGUCCCCACAUGUGGAGGGG
rnacentral:lncRNA from 1 species